CCUACGGGGGGCAGCAGUGAGGAAUAUUGGUCAAUGGGCGGAAGCCUGAACCAGCCAAGUCGCGUGAGGGAAUAAGGCCCUACGGGUCGUAAACCUCUUUUGCCGGGGAGCAAGGGCGGGGACGUGUCCCGGCCCGGAGAGUACCCGGAGAAAAAGCAUCGGCUAACUCCGUGCCAGCAGCCGCGGUAAUACGGAGGAUGCGAGCGUUAUCCGGAUUUAUUGGGUUUAAAGGGUGCGUAGGCGGGCUUUUAAGUCAGCGGUAAAAAUUCGGGGCUCAACCCCGUCCGGCCGUUGAAACUGGGGGCCUUGAGUGGGCGAGAAGAAGGCGGAAUGCGUGGUGUAGCGGUGAAAUGCAUAGAUAUCACGCAGAACCCCGAUUGCGAAGGCAGCCUUCCGGCGCCCUACUGACGCUGAGGCACGAAAGUGCGGGGAUCGAAC
rnacentral:rRNA from 1 species